rnacentral:tRNA from 1 species
GGGCGCGUAGUGUAGCCUGGUCAACACGUUCCCCUGUCACGGGAAAGAUCACGGGUUCAAAUCCCGUCGCGCCCG